UGUGACCUCGCUCAGAACUUGGUUGUUGCAUUUGAACAGUGACAAAUCUGCCCAGCCUCAGAAGCCCUGGAAGCCCAUUAGAUGCCAGCCGUUUUGCCAGAUUCCCACUCACCAGUUCUGAGCUGGGAGCUGACCUUGCAGGUUUUUAACAAAGGCCGUGGAGAUGUGCCUCUGGGUGAGGAGCUGCUGUCCAGGACACUGUAUGAGGACCUGCCACCCUUCCGGGGACUCUGUGUGAUGUUCCUGGACCUGGUGCUGAUGACUGCUUCCUCGGGCUUGAGUAGAGCCAUACCCGGUGGCAGGUCCAUCUUCUUGUGAGUGAACCAAGACUGUGUUUGUAGAGUUGGAAAAGAGCUCCCGGUGCAAAAUCCUUCUCAACAAGAAGGCAGGAUGAAUGCACCUGGGCCUGUGCCCACCCAACACUGCGCUCAGCCCGAGUGCAGACAUUCACAAGUCCUUGUGGCUGCUCUAGGGGCUGAGGCCAUUAUUCUUCUCCUUGAGGAGUCUGAGAUGCAGAGAGGUUGAGUAUCUUCCCCAAACCCAGCAGGAAGCAGCUGAAGGGGGUUCAAACCUCCAUGGGCUGGGGCGGCUGAGCCUCCACCAGUGUUCUUGGCCAUGGUGGAAACAGCUCUCCUCUUUGCCAGGCUGACCUAACAAUCCAGGUUUUCCUGGUAAGGUUUCUCAGUAAGAGCCGCCUUCAUGCAGGCUCUGCCCUCUGAGUGACCCUCAGAUAUCCAUGUGACAGCUGCCCGAAUGGGGGAUACCUACCCAG
rnacentral:lncRNA from 1 species